AAGCUUAACAUUCAAUCUCUUCCCUUUCGUACCAUCCUUUUUAGUGGUGUCCUCUAGAUUGAAACAAACCUCAACAUAUCCUAUCUAUCUAUUAUACUAAAGCAAAAUAACUUUGCCAUGUCACUGCUGAUGUGGCAAUGCUAUUGAGGCUGAUAAUUCUUAUUUGAGCGGCAAUUUAGGAUUCUCUCAAUUCUCCUCCUUUGUUCUUCAAUUCAUAUACGCGCCUUUCAGUUCCCUUUAAUCGAUUAUGAAACGCUCAUGGUUUUAUAUGGAAAGUUGAAUAAAUAAUCAAUUACUUGAAGAUCUUUAUGAAACUAUGGAUACGUUUCCAAAAUUACUGCGUAUAUACAUUUUACAACAUUCAAUUGGAGGAUUUAAGGAUAAUUGCAUUCACCUGUUUUGUUUUCUCUUCAUCACCCUUCGAAAUUGAAGCAUCGGUAAGUGGAUUCCAUCUCUGUUUGCGAUUUUCUAGAUGAUAUAAAGAAACACUAAUUUUUUGUAUCAAUUCUUAUGUGGUUGUUUAUGAUUAGUCCGUUAAUUGUUUUUGAAUAUGGGUUUUAAGGACUUCAUUGUUCUAAUUUCAAUAUAGAUUUGUUUGUUUUUUGAUGUUAUUAUAAACCCUAAGUUUUUUUUUAAAUGUAUUUAAUCCUUUUUUGUUAGAAAUUACAAUCCAAAGUCACUUUCAAAGGCCGAUUUGUAGUAGAAAGGAGUCAUUGUCUGAUCUAUGAAGGGUUUUUGAAGCUGAUUUGGGUUGUUUUUCCUGUAAAAAGAGGUUUACUACCAUCAUCUUAAAGCAAUAAUCAAGGAUACGAUUAAAUAGUUCAGAUGAAUUUGUUGUGGUGUUUCAAUGAUGGCUUUAAAACGGAUCUUGAAAGAACUCAAGGAUCUCCAAAAAGAUCCUCCUAUCUUUUGCAACGCAUGUACUGUAAAUAUCUUUAGAUUUGUUUAAUGUUUAAUUUUUUGUUUAAUCAAUGAUCUAUUGGAUGUUACCAGUGUUUGAUUUUGUCAUUGUUUGGAAUUAAAAGUUAAAGCCUUUAGGAAAAAGACUAAUUUUUUUUUUUGUUUUUAAUGUGGUUGUGUGAGAAGUUUUGGAAGAUGAUCAUAUCUAUAUGUGAAAAUUGUUUGUUUGCUUGGAAAUAUGGUCUUUUAGACUUUUAGAAUAGAUGUUGGCCUGAGAUUGACUAAUGAAAGGCGUUAUUCUAUUAUGCUGUUGCUUCGAAUCAAGUUUUUUUUAAUGUAUUACUCGGCCUUCAUUAUGUUGAAAAAGAUUUAUGUUUUUCAUUGGAUUUUCUUUAUUAAUCUGACUGAUAUGAAUUUCAUAAAUGGUUUGUGAAGUUUAUUAAAAUUGUGAAUCAUGGGUUUUAUGCUAAUUAGCUUUUUAUUGGAUGAUUGAGAGUUAUGCGAUCACGUUUUAGAAGUUAAAUAAGAUUUAUGUUUUACAUUGGAUUUUCUUUAUUUUCUUUAUUAAUCUAACCGAUAUGAAUUUCAUAAAUGGUUUUUGCAUUUAUGUAAUGUCGAAGAAGAAAGCGAAGGUGGUACAUGCUAUUAUUUUUUGCCACGAUGUAGGUACAAGAUAGUUUCUCAUCGAGUUAUCAGGUAUUGUGCAAAGUAGUACAAGAUAGUUUCUUAGCGAGUUAAUUUGAUUUGGUGGGAUGUGUUGUGACCACUUAAAGAAAACUUGGAGUGCAGAGCAACUAAAGGCACUAGCAGAAUCCUUAAUAAGGUGAAAACGCAAUAAAUGACACGUCUUGAUGAUAUGGAGCUCGAGGCAAGAGCACUAACCGAGCCACUUGCAACUAAUCAACAGAACUAGGAUGGCUUCUCGUAAGGCCAAGGAGGGUUCUGAGCAUUUCAAAUCAAACCCCAAUUCUCUCAGCAAUGGCUUCAUCUAAAGCCAACGACAUUGUUUCCACCAUUCACGUCGUCCUUUUUCAGUGAGCGUUGAUAGGACAAGCUUUGCGGGCGCGGAACAACCGAAUGUUUGGGGCAUGUUGCCGAUGUUUGCGGAACAACUCAAUGAGGAACCUUGGCCAAACAAAACCAAAAUCUAAAUCCACUAUUGUUGUUGUCUUCAUAGCCAGUGACUUCCAUUCUUAAAGUUGACUUUCUUAUGUCACAAGUGUGUGCUAGAUCCGCUUGAUAGUAUUGUUGAUGGUCCCAGCCUUUAAAAUAUAUGAAUUUGAUGAUGAUGUCAAUUUUGCAUAUGGGCCAUAUACAUAGUUCCCACUCCCCAACAAGAAAAUUAAAUGUAAGGUAAAAGUGGAUGUUCUACGAAUUAAUAAUGAUUUUGGUGCUACUGUUUAAUUUGCAGCCUGCCCGUGACUUGAAGAAGUGGGAGGAGAAGACAUUAUCUCAUGACUAUACUAAUGGUCUUUCUUUUGAACCCACCUAUGCAUGUAAACAGAAGGAAUGAGAUUCGUGUUUAUUUAACAAUGAGUCGUUAUGAAGCAAAUCGACGAUUAGAACGUUGUUUUCGGGUAUCCAAGCAUAUUUGGCUGGUCUUACAUUUGCUUUAGCUACAUCGCCUAGCAGUAUGACUGACUGAGGUUUGCUUUAGCUGCUCGAUUAGGCCAUCAAUAUGACUCAGGCCUCACCAUGAGAAUCACAGUUUGAUGAAAAUAGUGGUCAAGGCCUGGACUGUAUCCACACGUGCACCAAAAUCUUGAUGAAAAUGAAGAGAGAGAGAACAUGAAUUCAUCCCUGAAGAUGAUCAUCUUUAAAACUUAACUGCCACAGAAAGAUCUAAUGGGCCCGGUUUGUGUAAUUGGCCUGUUCAAUCCCCACUCUUCCUGCCCAUUUACUUCGUUAGCACCUCAAGCACACCUAUGUCGCCGUUGAAGACAAAUCGAGAGUUCGCGCCGGAAAAAGAGCUAUGAGUUCCAUCAGUUUCAGGUUGUUGGUAGAGGUGUACCUACGGAGUCAGAUCCAGUGACACACGACGGACAUCAGUUUUUAUGAAUACGAUGAAGAAAAUCCAAAAAUAAUAACCAAAUGCGAGCAUCAUUUUCAUUUGUCAUGCAUUCUUGAAUGGAUGGAAAGAAGCGACACUUGGCCCGUCUGUGAUCAGGGGAUGCACCGACUCUUGCCAUCAAAUGUAACAACGUGGUACAUGCAUUGCCAUCUGGUUGAGUUAGUCGGUUGAAAGUCCUGUAUGAAUACAUCAGUUUAAACAAAUCCCAUUCUGGUAGUGAAGGCGGCGGUAAUGACAGUAGUAGUGCCGAUUGUGGUGGUGGUUGGGAUGUGGAGGUGGUGGCGAUAUAAUGGCCAUGGGUAACGUUGUCCUUUUUGGUGCUACUGCUGGAGAAGGGCAAUCUGCAACUACACUUAUCAAGGUUGACUACACUAUUCGCAAGGUCGGCUCACAAGGAAAAAGGUGGUAGCUGUUGCGGUUGGAGUGGUGAGCGUUGCGGUUGGACUCGGCAUACCGAUUUUCUACGGAACGCAGAUUGAUAGUGUUGUGAAAAGCCUAAGUAUUAUUAGAAUUGCAAAACUAUGUAUGGGUGUGUUUGGAUGUGUGUUGAAACUGUAUAAAACUUCAUCGUCUUCUUCGUUCAAGCAGCUCGUACCUCAAUCGUCCACAUCCGCAUCGACAUUUUACGGAGGCUCCGGAAAUGGUCACGGUUCCAGAUCCUGAUAAUUUUAACCUCACUACGUCCUAUUCGAUGUAUUCUCGAGGCGGUUACGGAGCGCUUUGGCCUGUACGUUAUCCGUCUGCUGAUGAGAUGAUUGAUGAGCCGACUGAUGAUGUUCCGAGAUCCAGAGGAGGUGUAAGCCUUUCUGUUACGAUUCGGUUUAGGCCUUUGAGGUAAUUUGACUGAUUUUAGUUAGUUGCAGAUCUUUUUUGAAUUGAGUGAGAGAGACUACAUCUAAGGCAUGAGUCAUGUGAGUAGCCAAGAUAUAGACAACACCAUGACCAUACAAGCAAAGCCAGGUCUACUAAUUUUUGAAACAAAUGUACAAAGAGAAAAUGGAAAGUCUAGAAUCCAACCAUGUGUAGGGUUAGAGUUUGACAUAACAGAAGCAGCCCAAGAAUACCAUACUUAUGCGACUCAAGCCAGACUCAAAAUUAGAAUUGGUCAACUUCAACAAGAUCUGCAAAGUCAGAAAUUGAGGAGUAAUACUUUUUGACUUAACGCAAGUGCGAUAUUUACGGAGCACAUGUCAAACCUACAAAUAAAACAACUAAUGUUGUAUAUAAAGAGAUCUUCAAUGAGUUAAG